AUGAGCAUGACAGGUACACAUUACAAACAGGCACAGGAGAAUAAACUGAGCUGUGGAGUCUGGGUUCAAGUCCGGGUUUAUCCACUUCCUAGCUGUGUGACUUCCAGCAAGAGCCAGAGCCUUUCUGAUCUUCAGUUUUCUUAUCAGCAAAACACAAAUAUCAGCCUCACAGGGAUCUGCAGGAUUGAACGAGGUAAUAGGUAUGAAAUGCUUAAGAUGUUCUUGGUGUGUUGUAGGUGUGCAGUAAACUGUACAUUUUGGUGGUGUUUCUUUAAGAAAAGUUCUCCGUUCUCAUUUUAUACCUAACCUGUUCAUCCAGUGUAUGAAGGUCUGGUCUUUCAAUACUUGUUUUUCCUCCUCCAUGAACCUUUCCCUGAUGCCUCCUGCCACCAACCGAGUCCUUUCUUCCUCCACUGGCGCUGCAUACUCUG
rnacentral:lncRNA from 1 species